UACGUAGGUGGCAAGCGUUGUCCGGAUUUAUUGGGCGUAAAGGGAACGCAGGCGGUCUUUUAAGUCUGAUGUGAAAGCCUUCGGCUUAACCGGGGUAGUGCAUUGGAAACUGGGAGACUUGAGUGCAGAAGAGGAGAGUGGAACUCCAUGUGUAGCGGUGAAAUGCGUAGAUAUAUAGAAGAACACCAGUGGCGAAAGCGGCUCUCUGGUCUGUAACUGACGCUGAGGCUCGAAAGCGUGGGGAGCAAACAGG
rnacentral:rRNA from 1 species